UGAUCAAGCUCGCUUCAGCCGAGACUUUUUUUCUGGUUAUGCUAUAGGUGGCUUCGGUCGUUUAUAGUCUCUAGCCAGAUGAUUACCAUGAGCAAAUCAGAGUGUUUAAAGCAGGCUUUUAAGCUUGAAUGUGUUAGCAUGGAAUAAUGAAAUAUGACUUUAGUUCUUAUUUCGUUGGUUCAGGAACUUAAGUAAUGAUGAAUAGAAACGGUUGGGGGCAUUUGUAUUUGGUCGCUAGAGGUGAAAUUCUUGGAUUGACCGAAGACAAACUACUGCGAAAGCAUUUGACCCAGGACGUUUUCAUUGAUCAAGGUCUAAAGUUAAGGGAUCGAAGACGAUUAGAUACCGUCGUAGUCUUAACCACAAACUAUGCCGACUAGAGAUUGGGCUUGCUUAUUAUGACUAGCUCAGCAUCUUAGCGAAAGUAAAGUUUUUGGGUUCUGGGGGGAGUAUGGGACGCAAGGCUGAAACUUAAAGGAAUUGACGGAAGGGCACCACCAGGAGUGGAGCCUGCGGCUUAAUUUGACUCAACACGGGGAAACUCACCAGGUCCAGACAUAGUAAGGAUUGACAGAUUGAAAGCUCUUUCUGGAUUCUAUGGGUGGUGGUGCAUGGCCGUUCUUAGUUCGUGGAGUGAUUUGUCUGGUUAAUUCCGAUAACGAACGAGACCUUAUUCUGCUAAAUAGCUAGGCCAACUUUUUAGUUGGUUAAUAGAUUUAUCUAUCUGGCUUCUUAGAGAGACUAUCGG
rnacentral:rRNA from 1 species